AGAGUUUGAUCCUGGCUCAGAAUGAACGCUGGCGGCGUGCUUAACACAUGCAAGUCGCACGAGAACGCUUUAGCUUGCUAGAGCAAGUAAAGUGGCGCACGGGUGAGUAACGCGUGGGCAAUCUACCUCCGAAUCGGGGAUAACAUUGCGAAAGCGAUGCUAAUACCGGAUGACAUCCUGAAGGCUUCGGUUUUAAGGAUCAAAGGUGGCCUCUACAUGUAAGCUACUGUUUGGAGGUGAGCCCGCGUACCAUUAGCUUGUUGGUAGGGUAACGGCCUACCAAGGCGACGAUGGUUAGCUGGUCUGAGAGGAUGAUCAGCCACACUGGAACGGACACACGGUCCAGACUCCUACGGGAGGCAGCAGUGAGGAAUUUUGCGCAAUGGGGGAAACCCUGACGCAGCAACGCCGCGUGAGUGAUGAAGGCUUUCGGGUCGUAAAGCUCUGUCAAGUGGGAAGAAACCACGAGGUGAUAAUAUCUCUUUGUGCUGACGGUACCACUGAAGGAAGCACCGGCUAACUCCGUGCCAGCAGCCGCGGUAAUACGGGGGGUGCAAGCGUUAUUCGGAAUCAUUGGGCGUAAAGGGCGCGUAGGCGGUUUGUUAAGUCAGAUGUGAAAGCCCGGGGCUCAACCCCGGAAGUGCAUUUGAUACUGGCGGACUUGAGUAUGAACACCGGUGGCGAAGGCGACUUCCUGGACCAAUACUGACGCUGAGGCGCGAAGGCGUGGGUAGCAAACAGGAUUAGAUACCCUGGUAGUCCACGCAGUAAACGGUGAUCACUAGGUGUAGCGGGUAUUGACCCCUGCUGUGCCGCAGUUAACGCAUUAAGUGAUCCGCCUGGGGAGUACGGCCGCAAGGUUAAAACUCAAAGGAAUUGACGGGGGCCCGCACAAGCGGUGGAGCAUGUGGUUUAAUUCGACGCAACGCGAAGAACCUUACCUGGGUUUGACAUCUCGGGGAUUUUUUGGAAACAAGAAAGUGCCCUUCGGGGAGCCCGAAGACAGGUGCUGCAUGGCUGUCGUCAGCUCGUGUCGUGAGAUGUUGGGUUAAGUCCCGCAACGAGCGCAACCCUUAUCUUUAGUUACCAUCACUUCGGGUGGGGACUCUAAAGAUACUGCCCCGGUCAACGGGGAGGAAGGUGGGGAUGACGUCAAGUCCUCAUGGCCUUUAUGCCCAGGGCUACACACGUGCUACAAUGGGCGAUACAAAGGGUAGCGAGCCUGCGAAGGUGAGCCAAUCCCAAAAAGUCGUUCUUAGUUCGGAUUGGAGUCUGCAACUCGACUCCAUGAAGCUGGAAUCGCUAGUAAUCGCGGAUCAGCACGCCGCGGUGAAUACGUUCCCGGGCCUUGUACACACCGCCUGUCACACCAUGAGAGUUGGUUGUACCAGAAGUUGUUGGGCUAACCCGCAAGGGAGGCAGGCACCUAAGGUAUGGCUGAUGAUUGGGGUGAAGUCGUAACAAGGUA
rnacentral:rRNA from 1 species